UAUUGAGUGGUGCAAUGGCUUAGCAUAUCAGUCUUUGACACUGAUGAUGAUAGUUCGAAUCUAUCCUCAAUAG
rnacentral:tRNA from 1 species